GGACUACUGGGGUUUCUAAUCCCGUUUGCUCCCCUGGCUUUCGCGCCUCAGCGUCAGAAGAGAUCCAGUCCGUCGCUUUCGCCACCGGCGUUCCUUCCGAUAUCAACGCAUUUCACCGCUCCACCGGAAGUUCCACAGACCCCUACCUCCCUCUAGCUCCACAGUAUCAAAGGCACUGCGACAGUUAAGCUGCCGGAUUUCACCCCUGACUUUUGGAGCCGCCUACGCGCCCUUUAUGCCCAGUGAUUCCGAAUAACGUUUGCACGGUUCGUCUUACCGCGGCUGCUGGCAC
rnacentral:rRNA from 1 species